rnacentral:rRNA from 1 species
UACGAAGGGGGCUAGCGUUGCUCGGAAUCACUGGGCGUAAAGCGCACGUAGGCGGAUUUUUAAGUCAGGGGUGAAAUCCCGAGGCUCAACCUCGGAACUGCCUUUGAUACUGGAGAUCUUGAGUCCGGAAGAGGUAAGUGGAACUGCGAGUGUAGAGGUGAAAUUCGUAGAUAUUCGCAAGAACACCAGUGGCGAAGGCGGCUUACUGGUCCGGAACUGACGCUGAGGUGCGAAAGCGUGGGGAG